rnacentral:rRNA from 1 species
GAUCAUAUUCUUAGAUCAAAGAUUAAGCCAUGCAUGUCCAAGACUAAACAAGUUGUCAGUGAAUCUGCGUAUGGCUCAUUACAAGAAUCAUCAUUUACCCGAGCACCAACUUACAAUUGGAUAACCGUUGUAAUUCAAGGGCUAAUCAUGCACCCCAAAUAUGCGCGUUUACGUGCAUAUUGCAUUUGUUAGACCAAAACCAACCGGGGCAACCCGUUUUAGGUGAUUCAUGACAAAUUGCGGAUCCUGAAUAAUUUCAGGACGACUCGGUCAAGUCUUUCCCCUAUCAGGUUUCGAAGGCAGUGUAUUGAACUGUCUUGCCGUUGACGGGUAACGGAGAAUUAGGGUUCGAUUCCGGAGAAGGAGCCUGAGAGACGGCUACUACAUCUAAGGAAGGCAGCAGGCGCGCAAAUUUCCCAAUGCUCAUCGAGCGAGGAAGUGACGAUCAAUAACAAUGCGCGACGUUUUACGUUGUGCAAUUGGAAUGACUACAAUUUAAACUAUUUAAGGAGGAC